AUGCAAGUCGAACGCGAAAGGGCUUCGGCUCCGAGUAGAGUGGCGCACGGGUGAGUAACGCGUGGAUGAUCUGCCCUGAUGUUGGGAAUAACAGUUGGAAACGGCUGCUAAUACCGAAUACGCUCCCCUUUCACCAUGGGAGGAAAGACGGCCUCUGCUUGCAAGCUGUCGCAUGAGGAUGAGUCCGCGUCCCAUUAGCUAGUUGGUGAGGUAACGGCCCACCAAGGCGACGAUGGGUAGCCGAUUUGAGAGGAUGAUCGGCCACACUGGAACUGAAACACGGUCCAGACUCCUACGGGAGGCAGCAGUGGGGAAUAUUGCGCAAUGGGCGAAAGCCUGACGCAGCGACGCCGCGUGAGGGAUGAAGGUCCUUCGGAUCGUAAACCUCUGUCAGAAGGGAAGAAAGCAGCGGGUGCCAAUCAGCCUGCUGUUGACGGUACCUUCAAAGGAAGCACCGGCUAACUCCGUGCCAGCAGCUGC
rnacentral:rRNA from 1 species